AAUGGGGGCAACCCUGAUCCAGCAAUGCCGCGUGUGUGAUGAAGGCCCUAGGGUUGUAAAGCACUUUCACUGGUGAAGAUGAUGACGGUAACCAGAGAAGAAGCCCCGGCUAACUUCGUGCCAGCAGCCGCGGUAAUACGAAGGGGGCGAGCGUUGUUCGGAAUUACUGGGCGUAAAGGGCGCGUAGGCGGUCUUUUAAGUUAGGCGUGAAAGCCCCGGGCUCAACCCGGGAACUGCGCUUAAAACUGGAGGACUAGAAAACGGAAGAGGGUAGUGGAAUUCCCAGUGUAGAGGUGAAAUUCGUAGAUAUUGGGAAGAACACCAGUGGCGAAAGCGGCUACCUGGUCCGAUUUUGACGCUGAGGCGCGAAAGCGUGGGGAGCAAACAGGAUU
rnacentral:rRNA from 1 species